UACGUAGACGCCUUUAAAAGC
rnacentral:piRNA from 1 species